GUUUUGGCAGCUUUACAAGGGCAAAAAAUGCCAACCAAACAGCCCCUAAACCAUCAUGUAUUGUGCUAUAAUGUUUGCUGAUUACUGUACAUGUUUAAUCGGUACAAAAAACGUGGCUUUCAAAUAACUCAAGAAUUCCAAGACAACUUCCAGACACUGAAGGAACUGAGGAGGCCCCUUCAAAAGCCGGUCCUGGAUCUGAUUACGAUUCAAAAGAUGGAUUUCCACCUUUGGAAGAGAACUUCAACCACUUCACGUUGGAGGACAGCAAAGAAAGUGAAGAAGAGGAUGAAUAAGGAAUCCUUUCUUCUUACAGUUCAUGAAUAAAGGAACAGGGAACAUUCGGAAUAGUGCAACCAUCAGGCACAGAUCUGAUGAAGUUGAAGGGACAAAGUCUGACUCGCAUGACAGUCGAGGAUCUAAAGAUUGCUUACCUCAAUAGGAUUUUACUCAUGGAAGAAAAUGAUAAAGCUUGCAACAAUGUUUUUGGAAAGAUGGGAAACUCUCCCCCCGAUCUGAGAGGGGAGACGGUGAGCUGAAAAGAAAUUGCUUCUAAGAUAUUACAGAGGACUGGAGAGAUUCUAGAAAGUGGAUCCUAUAGUGGUGUAUUGUUCUUUUACUCUCAACUACGAUAAGCAAUGAACUGUAAGGUCAAGAAUGUGAAAUUGCUGGAGAAUGUAGCUGAGCAGGUUUCCAUCGCUAUAUGAGAGUCUUGGGUGAGCCGAAUGAUAUAGUUUUAGCUUAUCUGGAUUGCAUGCAAAGGGUGACAACCUUGUGGAUGACAUUCAUAACCAUACCAGAUGAGGAUGUUGACCUUCAUCAGUGAUUUCGUUGAUCUUCUUCAUCCGGAUCAAAUGCGUAUUAUUCUGCAGGGUUACAUGACACAAGUCGGAUCUGGUUCUGGCAUGGGAUCAAGCAGCGCACAGUUGGGGAAAGGAUCAACUGUGUACAACCCAAGGUGGAAUAAUUCGCAUGUGAAGUUGAGUAGUGAGCAUGUAUUCGUUAAUGUGUAUUUGAACUGUGGAUGUGUUCUAUAUGUAUGUUCAUAUCUGAGUUUUGACUUGUUAUAUUGACUUUUGUUUUUAUUGUGGAACGAGAAUGUAUUUUCAAUUGGAUCCGUUGUCAUAUGCAUUGGGAAUUCUGGAUUUGAUGUAUGUGGAUAUAUAUUAUAAAUGUAUGCACAAAAUCAGUUUAUUUUA